CUUACCUCGGUUCUUUGUUAACCAAGACAAGAGGCACCAAUACUGCCGCUCGUUUCAGGAGUCCUACUUUAUCUUCAUCUAUUACUCCUCGAGUAGUAUAGGCCGGUCGUGCCCUAUGUAACAUUUGUAAAUAUCAGAACGGACGGACUAAUUUUGCUGUUGUUGUUUUGUCGUCUGAAAAAGUGAUGUCCUGAAGACUCUACUAGCUAGUAAUACGGUUGCAUCUCCACAAAUCACAAAUUCACAAUCACGCAUAAAUUCAUUGGAUUUGUCAAUCAAUGGAUCAAUAAAUUUUAUUAACAGUU